CAUCGCCUCUUGCAUAACCACAGUAUAAGAGGUCCCGCCUGCCCAGUGACGACUUAGUUCAACGGCCGCGGUAUUUUGACCGUGCAAAGGUAGCGUAAUCACUUGUCUUUUAAAUGAAGACCUGUAUGAAUGGCAUAACGAGGGCUUAACUGUCUCCUUCCCCCGGUCAAUGAAAUUGAUCUCCCCGUGCAGAAGCGGGGAUAAAACCAUAAGACGAGAAGACCCUAUGGAGCUUUAGACACACAGGUGGCCCAUGUCAAAUAACCCCCGCUAAGGGCCUGAACUAAGUGGAACCUGCCUUGAUGUCUUCGGUUGGGGCGACCAUGGGGAAUACAAAACCCCCACGUGGAAGGGGAGCACACCCCUAAGUUACUUCUUCUCCCGCAAGCCAGAGCAACGGCUCUAACCAGCAGAAAUUCUGACCAAACUGAUCCGGUAAUACCGAUCAACGAACCAAGUUACCCUAGGGAUAACAGCGCAAUCCCCUUUUAGAGCCCAUAUCGACAAGGGGGUUUACGACCUCGAUGUUGGAUCAGGACAUCCUAAUGGUGCAGCCGCUAUUAAGGGUUCGUUUGUUCAACGAUUAAAGUCCUAC
rnacentral:rRNA from 1 species